rnacentral:rRNA from 1 species
AAUUUGAAUCUGGCGUCUUUGGCGUCCGAGUUGUAAUUUGCAGAGGGCGCUUUGGCAUUGGCAGCGGUCCAAGUUCCUUGGAACAGGACGUCACAGAGGGUGAGAAUCCCGUACGUGGUCGCUAGCCUUUACCGUGUAAAGCCCCUUCGACGAGUCGAGUUGUUUGGGAAUGCAGCUCUAAAUGGGAGGUAAAUUUCUUCUAAAGCUAAAUACUGGCCAGAGACCGAUAGCGCACAAGUAGAGUGAUCGAAAGAUGAAAAGCACUUUGGAAAGAGAGUUAAAAAGCACGUGAAAUUGUUGAAAGGGAAGCGCUUGCAGCCAGACUUGCCUGUAGUUGCUCAUCCGGGUUUUUACCCGGUGCACUCUUCUACGGGCAGGCCAGCAUCAGUUUGGGCGGUUGGAUAAAGGUCUCUGUCAUGUACCUCCUCUCGGGGAGAUCUUAUAGGGGAGACGACAUGCAACCAGCCUGGACUGAGGUCCGCGCAUCUGCUAGGAUGCUGGCGUAAUGGCUGUAAGCGGCCCGUCU